rnacentral:rRNA from 1 species
CACGUAGUUAGCCGUGGCUUCCUCCUUAGCUACCGUCAUUAUCGUCACUAAGGACAGAGGUUUACAAUCCGAAAACCGUCUUCCCUCACGCGGCGUUGCUGCAUCAGGGUUUCCCCCAUUGUGCAAUAUCCCCCACUGCUGCCUCCCGUAGGAGUCUGGGCCGUGUCUCAGUCCCAAUGUGGCCGAUCAACCUCUCAGUUCGGCUACCGAUCGUCGCCUUGGUAGGCCGUUACCCCACCAACUAGCUAAUCGGACGCGAGCCCAUCUAAAAGCGGAUUGCUCCUUUGAUCUCAGAACCAUGCAGUUCCGAGAUGUUAUGCGGUAUUAGCGACCGUUUCCAGUCGUUAUCCCCCUCUUCUAGGCAGGUUGCUCACGCGUUACUCACCCGUCCGCCACUAAGUUUGCUCCCGAAGGACAAACUCCGUUCGACUUGCAUGUGUUAGGCACGCCGCCAGCGUUCGUCCUGAGCCAGGAUCAAACUCU